rnacentral:rRNA from 1 species
GGCUAACGCUGGCGGCGUGUCUUAGCCAUGCAAGUCGAGCGGACUUAUGGGGUAACUUAUAAGUCAGCGGCGGACGGCGGAGUAACACGUAGCUAACCUACCCUCUGGACGGGGAUAACCUACCGAAAGGUGGGCUAAUACCCGAUGUAGUCAUCCUGUAUAGGGGUGAUGAAAGGUGGGCUUCUGUUUACAAGCUCAUGCUGGAGGAGGGGGCUGCGGCCUAUCAGGUAGUUGGUAGGGUAAUAGCCUACCAAGCCGAUGACGGGUAGCCGGCCUGAGAGGGUGACCGGCCCGAGGGGCACUGAGAUACGGGUCCCACUCCUACGGGAGGCAGCAGGCUAGAAAUUUGGGCAAUGGGGGAAACCCUGACCCAGUGACGCCGCGUGCAGGAAGGAGCCCUUCGGGGUGUAAACUGCUGUCGUGUAGGGAGAAGGGUACUAAGGUGAACAAUCUUAGUACUUGACGGUACUACAGGAGGAAGCCCAGGCUAACCUCGUGCCAGCAGCCGCGGUAAUAAGCGUACU